GGAACACUGAUUAUGUAUGCAAAAUAGUUAUCCCAAACUCCUCGCGGUUUUCCGAAAAAGUGCAUUUUUAGUUUCACUGACAUCCCGUCUGGUGGCCCGCAAACCCUGUGUCGACGACACAUUCGUGGUCUGCCCGCGCUCCGGCUUGGCAUGACUUUUGGCUUGGUUUCUUCCGCCAAGCCGGCCAGUUUCUUCUGCCGAGCCGUCUGCUGCGCAGAUUCACAUUGGGGAAGUGAUAAACAGUUCGCUAUUAGGGAGCCAGUUUAUUUCUGGACUUCACUAAACCCACGAGGAACGUGAGUUUUGCUUCCUUCGACUGCAAAGCAUUUGCUAGGCCAGUACAGACUUCCUGGUGUGAUUCGUGUUCUGUGCUCCAUGCCGAGAAUGUGUGAGCGUUUUGCUCCCGUCUGCAAGAACACUUCAGCAUGCAGUUCCAAUGUUUCAAACCACAAUUUUCCGAAAGGCGAAAGAGAAAUCUAUUGACUGCAACAAUCGGUUACAACUCCGACUGGGUGCCACCUUCGAAAGGAGCGAUUUGAUAUGUUCAUCUGACUUAUACGAAUGUUACGGAAGCAAUGCGCAACUUGUUUCACAAGAAGCUGAAGAUGUCUCGUCCGGGAUGCUGUGCCAACCUUAUCUGCAGCAGGAGAUUGCAGGGGCGGGACUAGGCAGCAGAUAAAGGUAAGACGCGUAAUAUGUUAGACAAGUCAGUCAUGCGGUGCAAAUUGCAUCACGUAGAAGAGAAAAAUACGCUAUCUGUCGGUUACUGCUUCAUCCUUUAGAGAUUACGCCCCAGCGGGUGUACUCUGUACAGAUUUGGAAUUGCCUUAUUUGUUAAAUGAUUUCGCAGGCAUGCUGGCACCACCGAAAAGCUUGCACUCCACGUCUCAACUAUCACCGUCUGGGUUUCAAGCUGAAGGCUGUCACCAGUGCCAACCAGACGCCCCUUCAAAGUUCAUCUGUUUUUGUUGACGGAACAGUGACACCUGGUAAACCUGUCACGCAGAUGCCCUACCCCUUGGUAUGCAUAGUUCAAGAUUGUACCGAAACAAUCCACCUGGAGCAUUAUUCUUCAAUUGGCAGUGGCAUUACUAUCACAACACACCACAUACUGCAUGUGUAUGGUGCGUGUACAAUGCAUCAAACCUAUUCUCAGGUACAGACGAGCUGGUGCGCAAUUACAACAUGAAACAACUGACACAGAGACCGUAAAGUCAUGCCUUUUCCUCCACACCUCGGGUUUCAUGUUGUUAUCCUCACAUGCAGCUCAAUUCGCCUGUGCUGUGCAGCAUGAGCAAAAGCAUAUAUUGUUUGUGGUCACAUGACACGGAACACAAAUACAGUGAAACCUUCCUAUGUUGGACACCCGCGGUGCAGCCGAAGCGUCUCCUACUUAUAGAGGUGUCCGAGUUACAGAAUAUGAUGGCAACAAAAAAUGGAAGAGAUCACAGCUGUGAGAAAUGUCCCCCUUCUUCAAUUUAAGGUCCUUAGUGGUACCUGGUGGUGGUGCCUGGUAGUGGUACCUCUACCCACUCUUCACUGAUAAUUAUUACUGAUUUUAGUAUAUUCAAUUCCGUUCAGAUUCUACUCAAUAGCAUUACCUCUGGAGCUUUUCGAGCAGCAAGGACUUGUCUCUGAAGCAUCAGCCCACUUCUGAUAGCUUUGGUGCAGUGCUCGUUCAAAGGCUCUAGACAAACUGAAGACAAGUGCUGACAUAAAGAAUUACAAUGUAGACUGACAGCACUUGUUUUUGGACUCUAAAAACUAAAGCAAUGAAAUGCUGUGACCAGUAUAGGGAAAAAAGGGGCAAAAGUCAAGGCCAUUGGCUCAUUUUGGGUCUUUUUGGUGCAAAGAUGGGCCGAUAUUGAGGUAAUUUGCCCAGGGUUUUGUCUGACUUUGCAGGGAAAACCCUAUCCUACUUCCAAGAUAGGGAGGUGUCCGACAUAGAGAAUUUCGUCCCCAUGUAGUUUCAAUGGGAGCCUGCCCGUGCAAUGAAAUCGUGGGGAGUUGUCCGAGGUAGGGAGGUGUCAGACUUUGGAGGUUUUACUGUACUAUAGAGCAUUCUACAUCAUGUAAUCUAACAGUUGUUCACGUUUCGAUAUUUUAACCAUGGAAUUUACCCUGCAUGCACCAUACCAUGACCAAACACGAACAACUGCUAGAGAACAGCAUGUACUGUUUCCGUAUAGCACUUAUGGCUUGCGUCCUGUGAUCGAGAACAGUGAUGUCUUUUUUUCUGCUACAACCAGUAAACUACAGUAAAGAUUUAGAAAUACUGUGUCAUACCAUAAAGCACUAUGGGAAAUGGCAGUUUGAAAAACUGGAGAAGACUGUCAUUAGAAUGGGGGACAUGUUCUACGGUGAAAUUUUUUACAGUGUGUGCUGUACCACGUAAUGCACUGCAGGCCCACCACAGUAUGGUAACGCUCUGAAUACUAAUUUGCUGAAAAAAGGAAUGUGUGCGUUUCUUGUACUAACUUCCCCUUAUGCAAGGUUGUAGAAAAAUGUUUUCAGCUAAUGGGGAGGGAGAGGACAUCAUUCUGGAGUCUCGUUGACCUACAAUGUGUCGUGUGUGAAGGUCAUUUUGAAGAGUGUAGGUGGUAAAAGACUGUGUUCCCACAUUCUUGGCAGUGUUGACUAAUAACCAUAAUGAACUAGAGAGUACAUUUGUUGCUUGAUAUAUUUGUGUCAUGGCAAAGUAUGUAGAGAUACAUCUGUCUCAACAUGCAGGUGCCAAAACUGCUUUUUGUGCCUAAAAUAUGACAAAUAGUUGUCUGUUCAACACCACUAAUCAUGUGCCGGCCUCCAUGACCUGUCUGUGACAUUCCAAAGUGAUUAACAUGUCCCAUAGAUGUGUGCAAUGCUGAAGAUGAUUGUGUACCUUCUAUGGAUUCUUGUUUCAAGAAAAGUACUGUGUGAUUUGCUAACAGCACCUAGCUGUACCUUCACAAUUCUACAUAAAAAUAUGUCAAGUUUCCGGAAGGAAACAUCAUGAAGGUCCAUAGCGAAAAACCCUGAGACGAGGGAUAGGAAGGGACAUACACAAUGUCUCAACAUAGCGUGUUUAUGUCCCUUCUUGUAUCUCCUCUUCAGGUUUCGCCAUCAUGGACACUAUCACCAGCUCGCUUGCUGUUGAACCGUUCUUUCAACGAUAAGGGUCACUUUCAUGGACUGGAUGGCAGCCAACAUGCUGUCAAUAAAAGAAUAAUGGAAGGAGCUAAAUAUGAUCCUUAGGCUGUACGUGGUCAUUGCUUUCUGACAAAUGGUGACUUAGAAUUUCAGGACAGUGCCUGCAGUGGUAGUAUUCUUGUGUUCUCACCCUUGACGCCCAUUGUGUGUCAUCGGUCACCUGUAAUCUGCUAAUAUGCACAUAGCUAAAACAAAGUAUAUUUGUAUUUCUUUGAAUACAGUUGGUACAGCACAUUGUUUUUUACAUGUUCUAUGGAAAAUAUAAAUAAAAAAAUCUCUACUC